UACGUAGGGUGCAGGCGUUAAUCGGAAUUACUGGGCGUAAAGCGUGCGCAGGCGGUCUGCUAAGACAGGUGUGAAAUCCCCGAGCUUAACCUGGGAACUGCGCUUGUUACUGGCAGGCUGGAGUGUGGCAGAGGGGGGUGGAAUUCCACGUGUAGCAGUGAAAUGCGUAGAGAUGCGGAGGAACACCGAUGGCGAAGGCAGCCCCCUGGGCCAACACUGACGCUCAGGCACGAAAGCGUGGGGAGCAAACAGG
rnacentral:rRNA from 1 species